UGUAAAUACCCUCCUUGGGUGUUUCCUCCCUAGACUUAACCGCGCCGCAAAGCGCGGUUUUUUUUGGCCGGA
rfam:Rhizobium sp. 63-7 SCNpilot_expt_1000_bf_scaffold_2512, whole genome shotgun sequence.